UACGGAGGGUGCGAGCGUUGUCCGGAAUCACUGGGCGUAAAGGGCGCGUAGGUGGCCUGUGGAAGUCUGCGGUGAAAGCCCGGCGCUCAACGCCGGGUCGGCCGUGGAUACUCUCGGGCUCGAGCUUACUAGAGGCAGAUGGAAUUCCGGGUGUAGCGGUGGAAUGCGUAGAGAUCCGGAGGAACACCGACGGCGCAGGCAGCGUCCUGGCCGCUUGCUGACACUGAGGCACGAAAGCUGGGGGAGCAAACAGG
rnacentral:rRNA from 1 species